GACGAACGCUGGCGGCGUGCCUAAUACAUGCAAGUCGAGCGAGUCUGCCUUGAAGAUCGGAGUGCUUGCACUCUGUGAAACAAGAUACAGGCUAGCGGCGGACGGGUGAGUAACACGUGGGUAACCUGCCCAAGAGAUCGGGAUAACACCUGGAAACAGAUGCUAAUACCGGAUAACAACAGAUGAUGCCUAUCAACUGUUUAAAAGAUGGUUCUGCUAUCACUCUUGGAUGGACCUGCGGUGCAUUAGCUAGUUGGUAGGGUACGGCCUACCAAGGCGAUGAUGCAUAGCCGAGUUGAGAGACUGAUCGGCCACAUUGGGACUGAGACACGGCCCAAACUCCUACGGGAGGCAGCAGUAGGGAAUCUUCCACAAUGGACGCAAGUCUGAUGGAGCAACG
rnacentral:rRNA from 1 species